rnacentral:rRNA from 1 species
AGUGAACGCUGGCGGUAGGCCUAACACAUGCAAGUCGAACGGCAGCACAGUAAGAGCUUGCUCUUACGGGUGGCGAGUGGCGGACGGGUGAGGAAUACAUCGGAAUCUACUUUUUCGUGGGGGAUAACGUAGGGAAACUUACGCUAAUACCGCAUACGACCUACGGGUGAAAGCAGGGGAUCUUCGGACCUUGCGCGAUUGAAUGAGCCGAUGUCGGAUUAGCUAGUUGGCGGGGUAAAGGCCCACCAAGGCGACGAUCCGUAGCUGGUCUGAGAGGAUGAUCAGCCACACUGGAACUGAGACACGGUCCAGACUCCUAUGGGAGGCAGCAGUGGGGAAUAUUGGACAAUGGGGGAAAGCCUGAUCCAGCCAUACCGCGUGGGUGAAGAAGGCCUUCGGGUUGUAAAGCCCUUUUGUUGGGAAAGAAAAGCAGCAGGUUAAUACCCCGCUGUUAUGACGGUACCCAAAGAAUAAGCACCGGCUAACUUCGUG